rnacentral:rRNA from 1 species
UACGUAGGGUGCGAGCGUUGUCCGGAUUUAUUGGGCGUAAAGAGCUCGUAGGCGGUUUGUCGCGUCUGCUGUGAAAACCCGGGGCUCAACCCCGGGCCUGCAGUCGAUACGGGCAGACUAGAGUGCGGUAGGGGAGACUGGAAUUCCUGGUGUAGCGGUGAAAUGCGCAGAUAUCAGGAGGAACACCGGUGGCGAAGGCGGGUCUCUGGGCCGUAACUGACGCUGAGGAGCGAAAGCGUGGGGAGCGAACAGG